rnacentral:rRNA from 1 species
GGGGAAUAUUGGACAAUGGGCGCAAGCCUGAUCCAGCCAUGCCGCGUGAGUGAUGAAGGCCUUAGGGUUGUAAAGCUCUUUCACCGGAGAAGAUAAUGGCGGUAUCCGGAGAAGAAGCCCCGGCUAACUUCGUGCCAGCAGCCGCGGUAAUACGAAGGGGGCUAGCGUUGUUCGGAAUUACUGGGCGUAAAGCGCACGUAGGCGGACAUUUAAGUCAGGGGUGAAAUCCCGGGGCUCAACCCCGGAACUGCCUUUGAUACUGGAUGUCUUGAGUGUGGAAGAGGUAAGUGGAAUUGCGAGUGUAGAGGUGAAAUUCGUAGAUAUUCGCAGGAACACCAGUGGCGAAGGCGGCUUACUGGUCCAUUACUGACGCUGAGGUGCGAAAGCGUGGGGAGCAAAC